AAAAAUCGACAACGGCUGGACCGAUUUGGCUAAUUCUGGUUUUAAAUUAUUUGUGCAAGUCCAGAGAAAGUUUAAAAGAGUAAAAUAUCUAGAGAUGGCAUUUUGGACAUCAUCCAAACUUUCAAAUCUUUUACCACCAAGAAAGUGCUGCAGCGAUCAGAAUACAUGGAAAUCGGAGUUUCCAUAUUAUGGUGGAGAAAGCAGCAGCUCCAAUUCCAAUUCAUAUCGUAUCUUCUUGCUUUGUCGUGCUGCAGAAUAAUAACUGUUGCAAUCUCAGAUUAAUUUUCGAUUUACUCGAUGUAAUUGUUCUUAAUAAAGAUCUAAAUUAACAGUU